rnacentral:lncRNA from 1 species
UGUGCUUCAAACAUGGGAGUCAUUGUCGCUGCUGGUUAAUGCUUCAGUCUAAUUCCAUCAAGCGAUCGGUGUCGAAUCAUUUGCCCCGCUUCCUUUUCUUUUCUUUUCUUUUUUUUUUUUUGGUGGGUUAGUCUGAUUGGGUUCAAGCCAGAUCUGGGUUAGGACUUAGGUGGGCUCAAACCUGAAUUUUAUAAUGUUUGGAGUUUAGGGUAAUUCUUUAUGCACCACAUACAAUGCAACAAAAAUGUAUCGCCCCAUCUUAUUGGGCCACAUAGCCAUCACUUUCCAAUGCACAUUUAAUGUCUGCAGUUUUAUUUUUUUCG